CCUACGGGAGGCAGCAGUGAGGAAUAUUGGUCAAUGGACGAGAGUCUGAACCAGCCAAGUAGCGUGAAGGAUGACUGCCCUAUGGGUUGUAAACUUCUUUUAUAUGGGAAUAAAAUGUUCCACGUGUGGGAUUUUGUAUGUACCAUAUGAAUAAGGAUCGGCUAACUCCGUGCCAGCAGCCGCGGUAAUACGGAGGAUCCGAGCGUUAUCCGGAUUUAUUGGGUUUAAAGCGAGCGUAGGUGGAUUGUUAAGUCAGUUGUGAAAGUUUGCGGCUCAACCGUAAAAUUGCAGUUGAAACUGGCAGUCUUGAGUACAGUAGAGGUGGGCGGAAUUCGUGGUGUAGCGGUGAAAUGCUUAGAUAUCACGAAGAACUCCGAUUGCGAAGGCAGUUCACUGGACUGCAACUGACACUGAGGCUCGAAAGUGUGGGUAUCAAACAGGAUUAGAUACCCCUGUAGUC
rnacentral:rRNA from 1 species